rnacentral:lncRNA from 1 species
AGACCAGCAUGGAGAGAUAAUGUUCUACGACCUUUCAGAUUGUUUCCAUAAUGCACAACAUAAGAAUAUGUCCAUCGGUCACCAGUAGCAUUGGAAGUCCUGGUCACACCAGUAAUUGGUGUAUGAAAGGUGCAGAGAGUGCUAAGAAUACCUGGAUAGGAACUAGUUGCCUUCAAUUACUGAUCUUGGUUACAUAUAAUGGGCAAUCCCUUUUGACAGAAGACUGCCUACAGGAACUAGAGAAUGAAGCAAAAAAGAUCAACUGGACAUCUUUGGACCCAAUGAAAUAAGAAGAAAAGGCAAAAUCUUCAUGGAAUUUCAAAGUGGACAUCUCUUCUACCACCAAGGGAAUGAGACCAAUACCAGUGGAGGAAUUGGAUUCAAUGAUCCCACAAGGACAUCAGUACACAACAUUGUCAGUUUCAGCAAAAAAUCAGACCAAGCAGGACAAGCUGCUAUGAGGAUUUCCAAGAGAUAUGAACUGAAGAUAAUACAAGUGUAUUCACCAGCAACCAGCAGUGAUGAUGAAAAGAUAGAAGUCUUAUAUGAAGACAUAACUGAGGAAAUGAACACCAUCCUGGCAUACUUCACAAUCAUCA